rnacentral:lncRNA from 1 species
GCAGCCGGCAGAAGCCAGCUCUCAGGCUGACAGGCAAAUGAUCCAGAUCCGUGAUCGGGGGCCUCUGGGUGGCAGCUCCGGCCUUUUGGUUGUUGGACAACUAUAGUCAGAACUGAAAUGGAACAGGGGCAGGAGAAAUAACACACUUUUACUCUACGCAACUGUUGCUUUCACAUGAUCUUCAGGAAUGUUACUGGGAUAACUGUUCAAAUCAAAUCCCAUGCUCCUAUCAUGGUACUGAUUAUUAAGGUGACUUUAUGAAAGGAUCCCUCCAAAAUAACAGGAAUCAUGAGGAAUCCAUUAAUGUAAAGCUGCUGCCAGAGUUUCACGUGGAGGCAGAAUGUUCUAGAUGAUCCCUGUCUCUUCUCCACUGAGGAAGUAGUUUGUUGCCUUCCUGUAAGCUCGGUUAAUCACACCAGAAUAGGGCUCCUGUCUUACUGAGCAGUAUACACUAUGGAGAGAUCCUUCAAAAUCCGUUGGGAGGAAGAACAGAUGAAUUCAUAAAACUGUUCAUCUCUGUUAUCCUGAAUGGUCACUCAGACAACAUUUUACUAAACUAUCAAGGGGAACACUUAAAGUGCCUGCGAGACGGGAAGAGAAUGACUACAGGAGAAAAUCAUCCCAGGCCACGAUUUCCUAACCAGAAUCUGUAAAAGAGUUUCCAAGACCUUGGCAGAAGCAUAUUGUGUGAUGUUCUAUAUUUAUGAAACCCAUAACAAACUGUGAAGAGAUAACAGAAUGCUGUUUGCGUGAGUUGAAACAGUAGAUGAAAUCUUUCAUUAAAAUUACUCAUACUUUGGGUCUUAUUCUUAUUUAUAAAUAAGCAUAAAUAUUAUUGCAAAC